rnacentral:rRNA from 1 species
CAGUAGCCACGGGAAUACGAAGGGUGCAAGCGUUACUCGGAAUUACUGGGCGUAAAGCGUGCGUAGGUGGUCGUUUAAGUCUGUUGUGAAAGCCCUGGGCUCAACCUGGGAACUGCAGUGGAAACUGGACGACUAGAGUGUGGUAGAGGGUAGCGGAAUUCCUGGUGUAGCAGUGAAAUGCGUAGAGAUCAGGAGGAACAUCCAUGGCGAAGGCAGCUACCUGGACCAACACUGACACUGAGGCACGAAAGCGUGGGGAGCAAACAGGAUUAGAUACCCCGGUAGUCCCUGUCUCUUAUAU